rnacentral:rRNA from 1 species
GACGAACGCUGGCGGCGUGCCUAAUACAUGCAAGUUGAGCGAUGAAGAUUGGUGCUUGCACCAAUUUGGAGAGCAGCGAACGGGUGAGUAACGCGUGGGGAAUCUGCCUUUGAGCGGGGGACAACAUUUGGAAACGAAUGCUAAUACCGCAUAACAACUUUAAACAUAAGUUUUAAGUUUGAAAGAUGCAAUUGCAUCACUCAAAGAUGAUCCCGCGUUGUAUUAGCUAGUUGGUGAGGUAAAGGCUCACCAAGGCGAUGAUACAUAGCCGACCUGAGAGGGUGAUAGGCCACAUUGGGACGGAGACACGGCCCAAACGCCUACGGGAGGCAGCAGUAGGGAAUCUUCGGCAAUGGACGAAAGUCUGACCGAGCAACGCCGCGUGAGUGAAGAAGGUUGUCGGAUCGUAAAACUCUGUUGGUAGAGAAGAACGUUGGUGAGAGUGGAAAGCUCAUCAAGUGACGGUAACUACCCAGAAAGGGACGGCUAACUACGUG